GCGUUGUUCGGAUUUACUGGGCGUAAAGGGUGCGUAGGCGGAUUGUUAAGUCAGGGGUGAAAUGCCGGGGCUCAACCUCGGAACUGCCUUUGAUACUGGCGAUCUUGAGUCCGGGAGAGGUGAGUGGAACUGCGAGUGUAGAGGUGAAAUUCGUAGAUAUUCGCAAGAACACCGGUGGCGAAGGCGGCUCACUGGCCCGGAACUGACGCUGAGGCACGAAAGCGUG
rnacentral:rRNA from 1 species